CUCGAAACCCUUUGCAGAACGUUGCGCAACGCAAGGAAACAUGUCGCUCAAUCCGAAAAUGUUGCAAACCAAUGCAAAACGUUUUGAGAUUCAACUCGCCCCAGGUGAACAGGUGGGAGGAAGUAGGAGAACCCACGCAGACAUAUUUCAGAAUAUGCAAACUCCACACAGAAAGGCCAGGGCAACUGGAGUUUGAACCCACGACCUUCUUGCUGUGAGGUGACAGUGCUAACCACUCAUACAUACAACCAAUCAUACAUAGUCAUUCAUAAGCUCUCGUGUCAGGGAUGUCAACAUGUGCAUUCCUGCACUUCCAAACACAAACAAAACCACAAAGUUUCCAAAAGUUCAUAUUACCAGUUGACUUUCAGACUGUGCUAAUUUCACAGGCAAAAGAAGAGAGGCUGAAUCACAGUGACAGAUGCAUGGGGUCGUUCCCACAUGAGGCCCGGAUCAUUUACUCUGAUGGGGAAGAGAGAGGGGGUUCGUUCAUCCCCCCAGAGGAACCACAAGGGCAAGCAAGACGCUAAUAGAGACGUGCCCCCACCCUAAGUCUUGACCCCUGGGUUCCUAGUAGCUCCGGCCAACACGACCCAGAUCAACCCCCUUCAUCCCUACCUUCUCAACCCCUUCAUCCCUACCUCCUUGACCCCUUCAGCCCUUUCCCCUCGACCCCUUCAUCCCUUUCCCUC